UAUGGUUAAUAGCAUACUCAUUUGACGUUAGCUGCAGAAGAAGCACCGGCUAACUCCGUGCCAGCAGCCGCGGUAAUACGGAGGGUGCGAGCGUUAAUCGGAAUUACUGGGCGUAAAGCGCAUGCAGGUGGUUUGUUAAGUCAGAUGUGAAAGACCCGGGGCGUCAACCUCGGAAUUGCAUUUGAAACUGGCAAACUAGAGUACUGUAGAGGGGGGUAGGAAUUUCAGGUGUAGCGGUGAAAUGCGUAGAGAUCUGAAGGAAUACCGGUGGCGAAGGCGGCCCCCUCGGACAGAUACUGACACUCAGAUGCGAAAGCGUGGGGAGCAAACAGGAUUAGAUACCCUGGUAG
rnacentral:rRNA from 1 species